rnacentral:rRNA from 1 species
UACGUAGGGUGCGAGCGUUGUCCGGAAUUAUUGGGCGUAAAGAGCUCGUAGGUGGCCUGUCGCGUCGGCUGUGAAAACUCGGGGCUCAACUCCGAGCUUGCAGUCGAUACGGGCAGGCUAGAGUUCGGCAGGGGAGACUGGAAUUCCUGGUGUAGCGGUGAAGUGCGCAGAUAUCAGGAGGAACACCGGUGGCGAAGGCGGGUCUCUGGGCCGAUACUGACACUGAGGAGCGAAAGCGUGGGGAGCGAACAGG